rnacentral:tRNA from 1 species
UGAGUAAAUGUCGUAAGGAGCGUGUACGAUUUCGGCUCGUAAGGUGAAUAAAUUUCUUUACUU